CUCCGGCAUACCACAAAUCGGUUGUCUUUUUUCUUUGAGGAGCUUCAAGCUCGGCGUGCCAAUUGCCGGCAGCAAGCUAGCUGGAAGACGCGUCGACGUUCUGGACUGAGUCACAAGUGUUUUAUCCAGUCGUGUUCAGGAUGUCGGGUUGAGUUUGAGUAACUGCUUCUCAGUUGUCAUAGCGGAACGUGUCGGUUUUCCGUGCAUGGACUUGGCGUUAGAGCGGGCUGAAAACUGCACUUGGAAGCUUGGUAUCGGAAAUUCCUACAUUCCCCUCUUUUGUAGACGACUGUUGGUGAAACUCGGCAUACACAAACGAAAAUGUUCCGGUUCUCACACCAAGAGUUACACUUUGCAAACAGUUUGAAGCACAGUUUGACUGCACUGGGAAAGGAUUUGUAAAGACAUCUUCACCCACCAGUGUUCCCAGGGAUGCCACACACCUGCAUUCGCACCCUUCACACUUCUGAGCCGCACUGGGGCUCUCUUACACUUCACUGACAAGGACAAAGUAAGAAUAGGAUACCAGAUAUCCGGUAAUCGGCUACACAACUAUUUCACACGUUUUGGUGUUUGUCUCAUUCAUGCUCGUUACUCCUUAUUCAUGCUUCCGCAGGUACCCUUGUCUCAUUCAUGCUCGUUAUUCCUUAUUCAUGCUUUCGUAGGUACCCUUGUCUCAUUCAUGCUCGUUAUUCCAUAUUCAUGCUUUCGUAGGUACCCAACUAUUUCACACUUUUGGUGUUUGUCUCAUUCAUGCUGAUAUUCAUUAUUCAUGCUUCCGCAGGUACCCUUGUCUCAUUCAUUCUCGUUAUUCCUUAUU